rnacentral:rRNA from 1 species
CCCCCCAUUGUAACACGUGUGUAGCCCCGGACGUAAGGGCCGUGCUGAUUUGACGUCAUCCCCACCUUCCUCACAUCUUACGACGGCAGUCUCUCUAGAGUCCUCAGCAUGACCUGUUAGUAACUAAAGAUAAGGGUUGCGCUCGUUAUGGCACUUAAGCCGACACCUCACGGCACGAGCUGACGACAACCAUGCAGCACCUUCACAUUUGCCUUACGGCUAUCCUGUUUCCANNAUAUUCAAAUGCAAUUUAAGCCCGGGUAAGGUUCCUCGCGUAUCAUCGAAUUAAACCACAUGUUCCUCCGCUUGUGCGGGCCCCCGUCAAUUCCUUUGAGUUUCACCGUUGCCGGCGUACUCCCCAGGUGGAAUACUUAAUGCUUUCGCUUGGCCGCUUACUGUAUAUCGCAAACAGCGAGUAUUCAUCGUUUACUGUGUGGACUACCAGGGUAUCUAAUCCUGUUUGAUACCCACACUUUCGAGCAUCAGUGUCAGUUGCAGUCCAGUGAGCUGCCUUCGCAAUCGGAGUUCUUCGUGAUAUCUAAGCAUUUCACCGCUACACCACGAAUUCCGCCCACCUCUACUGUACUCAAGACAGCCAGUAUCAACUGCAAUUUUACGGUUGAGCCGCAAACUUUCACAACUGACUUAACUGUCCACCUACGCUCCCUUUAAACCCAAUAAAUCCGGAUAACGCUCGGAUCCUCCGUAUUACCGCGGCUGCUGGCACGGAGUUAGCCGAUCCUUAUUCAUAUGGUACAUACAAAAUUCCACACGUGGAAAACUUUAUUCCCAUAUAAAAGAAGUUUACAACCCAUAGGGCAGUCAUCCUUCACGCUACUUGGCUGGUUCAGGCCUGCGCCCAUUGACCAAUAUUCCUCACUGCUGCCUCCCGUAGGAGUUUGGACCGUGUCUCAGUUCCAAUGUGGGGGACCUUCCUCUCAGAACCCCUAUCCAUCGAAGGUUUGGUGAGCCGUUACCUCACCAACUGCCUAAUGGAACGCAUCCCCAUCGAUAACCGAAAUUCUUUAAUAACAAGACCAUGCGGUCUGAUUAUACNAUCGGGUAUUAAUCUUUCUUUCGAAAGGCUAUCCCCG